ACAAAUGCUAUGAAAAGAAACAGUAAAUAUUUUUGAUUUUUCAGAGAGAAGUUGCCAGGUGAAAAACUUUAAUGAAAAAAUAUUGAACCAGUCUUGGAGCUAUGAACCGAAAGUGUAUUAUGAGUAGGCUUCAUCGGAGAUUCUACCGUUAAAAGGAAAACAGUAUAAAGAUACAUAAUCUUCGUACUGAUUGAGUGCAGUUAUUUCUGAAAUUAGGUGGUAACACGGAUUGUAUAUUCGCCCUAAGU
rnacentral:ncRNA from 1 species